ACGAACGCUGGCGGCAUGCCUAACCCAUGCAAGUCGAACGAGACCUUCGGGUCUAGUGGCGCACGGGUGCGUCACGCGUGGGAACCUGCCCUUAGGUUCGGAAUAACUCCCCGAAAGGGGUGCUAAUACCGGAUAAUGUCUUCGGACCAAAGAUUUAUCGCCUUUGGAUGGGCCCGCGUUGGAUUAGCUAGUUGGUAGGGUAAAAGCCUACCAAGGCGACGAUCCAUAGCUGGUCUGAGAGGAUGAUCAGCCACACUGGGACUGAGACACGGCCCAGACUCCUACGGGAGGCAGCAGUGGGGAAUAUUGGACAAUGGGCGAAAGCCUGAACCAGCAAUGCCGCGUGAGUGAUGAAGGCCUUAGGGUUGUAAAGCUCUUUUACCCGGGAUGAUAAUGACAGUACCGGGAGAAUAAGCUCCGGCUAACUCCGUG
rnacentral:rRNA from 1 species